rnacentral:rRNA from 1 species
UACAGAGGGUGCAAGCGUUAAUCGGAAUUACUGGGCGUAAAGGGCGCGUAGGUGGUUAAUUAAGUCAGAUGUGAAAUCCCUGGGCUUAACCUAGGAAUUGCAUAUGAAACUGAUUAGCUAGAGUGCGGUAGAGGGAAGUGGAAUUUCCGGUGUAGCGGUGAAAUGCGUAGAUAUCGGAAGGAACACCAGUGGCGAAGGCGACUUCCUGGACCGUUACUGACACUGAGGCGCGAAAGCGUGGGGAGCGAACAGG